GUACCUUUUGCUACGGAAUAACUCAGGAACUUGUGCUAUACCGUAAUGUGCCCUUCGGGGGAAAGAUUUAUCGGCAAAGGAUCGGCCCGCGUUGGAUUAGCUAGUUGGUGAGGUAAAGGCUCACCAAGGCGACGAUCCAUAGCUGGUCUGAGAGGAUGAUCAGCCACACUGGGACUGAGACACGGCCCAGACUCCUACGGGAGGCAGCGGUGGGGAAUAUUGGCCAAUGGGCGCAAGCCUGAUCCAGCCAUGCCGCGUGAGUGAUGAAGGCCCUAGGGUUGUAAAGCUCUUCCACCGGUGAAUAUAAUGACGGUAACCGGAGAAGAAGCCCCGGCUAACUUCGUGCCAGCAGCCGCGGUAAUACGAANGGGGCUAGCGUUGUUCGGAUUUACUGGGCGUAAAAGCGCACGUUAGGCGGACUUUUAAGUCAGGAGUGAAAUUCCCNGGGGCUCNACCCCGGAACUGC
rnacentral:rRNA from 1 species